UCUCCGUAGGUGAACCUGCGGAGGGAUCAUUACAGAGUUCAUGCCCUACCGGGUAGAUCUCCCACCCUAUGUUAUUAUUACUUUGUUGCUUUGGCGGGCCGUUAGGCUCCGGCCCGACUACCGGCCCCGGCUGGUAAGCGCCCGCCAGAGGACCCAAAACCCUGAAUAUUAGUGUCGUCUGAGUACUAUAUAAUAGUUAAAACUUCCAACAACGGAUCUCUUGGUUCUGGCAUCGAUGAGGAACGCAGC
rnacentral:misc_RNA from 1 species